rnacentral:lncRNA from 1 species
GAGCUCUGGACAGAAAAAGAUCCAGGGCAGUUUUGGCUGCAUUCACCACGUCGGUCUCCUCUUCUGAUGUGAAAAGAACAGCCAUAUCUUCAAAUACAGCUGUUGCCUCUUCUAGAUGUGUGCUGUUUAACAACAAGGCAAAGCAAAGGACACUUGAAAUUAGUCCCCAACUGAAGUCCGUCUCCACUUGA